rnacentral:rRNA from 1 species
CCGAGUUUACAACUCCCAAACCCAAUGUGAACGUUACCAAACUGUUGCCUCGGCGGGGUCACGCCCCGGGUGCGUCGCAGCCCCGGAACCAGGCGCCCGCCGGAGGAACCAACCAAACUCUUUCUGUAGUCCCCUCGCGGACGUAUUUCUUACAGCUCUGAGCAAAAAUUCAAAAUGAAUCAAAACUUUCAACAACGGAUCUCUUGGUUCUGGCAUCGAUGAAGAACGCAGCGAAAUGCGAUAAGUAAUGUGAAUUGCAGAAUUCAGUGAAUCAUCGAAUCUUUGAACGCACAUUGCGCCCGCCAGUAUUCUGGCGGGCAUGCCUGUCCGAGCGUCAUUUCAACCCUCGAACCCCUCCGGGGGAUCGGCGUUGGGGAUCGGGACCCCUCACACGGGUGCCGGCCCCGAAAUACAGUGGCGGUCUCGCCGCAGCCUCUCCUGCGCAGUAGUUUGCACAACUCGCACCGGGAGCGCGGCGCGUCCACGUCCGUAAAACACCCAACUUUCUGAAAUGUUGACCUCGGAUCAGGUAGGAAUACCCGCUGAACUUAAGCAUAUCAAAGGCCCGGAGGAAA